rnacentral:rRNA from 1 species
CGCGGUUUUCGGCAGCGUCAUGGUCUUGACUAUGAGGACACCUUCAGUCCUGUCGUCAAGCCUACCACUAUUCGGCUUCUUCUCUCCAUUGCUGUUUCUCGUGGUUGGUCACUUCGUCAACUUGAUGUGCAGAAUGCUUUUCUACAUGGAUUUUUGGAGGAAGAGGUUUAUAUGAAACAACCGCCUGGUUUCUCUGAUCCUGAUCGUCCUGACUAUAUCUGUCGUCUUUCCAAAGCACUAUAUGGUUUGAAGCAAGCUCCUCGUGCCUGGCAUGCCCGCCUUGCCUCUGCCCUUCGUGCUCAUGGGUUUGUGCCG